AUCACUUUUGUGGGGGCUCUGAAAGGUGUCCUUUGCUAACUCUGAACUCCUAGUUUUUCCUUAACCCUUCUGAAACAAUGUCUCAUGAUAGCAACCAGCUUUCCAGGUCUGACUUCAGGAGCAUAGCCUGCCUUUGCUAUUCCAGUGCCUAAUAUUACUCACCUGGCCCUGCAGCCUUGGGACUUUAACAGUGUGGCAGCUUGAAUUCACUCAGACACCAUAAAGAAGUGCCUUGGGUAUCUCUAACUGCCCUGACUUGUAGAAAUGGGUGCUUUCUCAGCAAAAAUGCACAGGAAAAGGAUGUGGAUCACCUACUAUAAGCUUGACUCUUCCUGCAACUGUCAUGAUGAAAACCCUGCUGGACAGCAGUGAACUGUUAGUUUUUAAUUGUCCCAGCAAAUAUUUGUGCCUCUGACCAGUUGCAUGAACGAGUCGGAUGUCUCUGUGGGAAUCUAAAAUAUAAAGACAACACACUCCUACAAGUGUUUGAUCCUGAAGACUCUGAGUAUGGCACUUGAUUUUGCUUUAAAAGAGAAAGCUACCUCAAUUGUAGGCCUGAGGCUGCUGCUGUUCCACUUGUGGGUGGCAAACCCUGUGAAUAAAUGGAUGGGAGGACUCUGAUACCUGCUUUUCUGACCCCCUUCUCCCAGGCUGCCAGACCCCUCCUGGUUGGAGUUCCAGGAGCCUGGGACUCCAAAUCCCAGCUCUGCAGUACCUGGGGAGGGAGCGGAGAAGGAAAAGCUAUGGCUAAAUAGGUGACUAACUCCUGUACUCAGUGGGGUCCUCUUGAACCUUGGGUGACUUGGUUGCCAGAAAGCCUUGUAGAUAUUAUUGCAACCAGAAGGCAAUGUUGGCCCUCUACUUUGGGGGUGAAAAGGAUGCAAGACGGCUCUCAAGGGAACCAUCUUUCCAUGAGGGAAGAAGACCGUAUCUAUCACCUGGCCAACGAACGCUAAGGGGCCCAAAGUUGGGCACUGUCCACUCUGCAGAUCUUCAAACCGUGUGGGCUUAUCAGAAAGUCCUGUUUCCCCCUCCUGAGGGUAUUUCUCUCAGAAGAAACAAUCCAACCUUUUCAUCUUUAGUAAGAAGGAGAUCUCUUACACUGGUUCACUGUAUUGUCCCCUAGGGAGGCCACCCCAUACCACAGUUCACAUCCUUUUGCUUUCUUUUAGGGUCUCUUAAAAGCUGACCUGCCUUACUGAAACAACUGAUAAAAACGCCAGGCCAGAUAAUAUCUGUUGUCUCCUCUCCCCCCUUCCCCAGCAACUUGGCUACUUGAGAUGUUCAAACAGUGAAUAAUUGAUACUUGAUUCCAAACACUGAACCUGAUACUUGACCUGGAGGGAUGUUAAUUAUCACCCAAGAAAGCAAAUACAGCCUACAAAAUCCAAAUACUUUUCUGUUCCUGAUUUAUGCUUGCCUUUUAAAUGGUACAAAGGACUCGUUCCAAAAGCACUUUGGCA